rnacentral:rRNA from 1 species
GAAUUAUUGGGCGUAAAGAGCUCGUAGGCGGUUUGUCGCGUCUGCUGUGAAAGACCGGGGCUCAACUCCGGUUCUGCAGUGGGUACGGGCAGACUAGAGUGCAGUAGGGGAGACUGGAAUUCCUGGUGUAGCGGUGAAAUGCGCAGAUAUCAGGAGGAACACCGAUGGCGAAGGCAGGUCUCUGGGCUGUAACUGACGCUGAGGAGCGAAAGCAUGGGGAGCGAACAGGAUUA